rnacentral:lncRNA from 1 species
AAAAACGUCACUCUUACCCUCCUCAAUGGCAUCCUCAUUACCACAACCACCUCCUCUCCCCUCUCUCCACUUCACCUUCUCUCCACUCUCUUGAAAUCCUAACAUUUUCACUUCUUCACUCUCCCUCUCACUCUCUUGAAACUCUAACAUUUUCACUUCUUCACUCUCCCUCUCACUCUCUUGAAACCCUACCAUUUUCACUUCUUCACUCUCCCUCUUACUACUCAACACAUACCACCUCUCCCACUCACUCAACACCACCACCACCUCCCCCACUAACUCAACACCAUCACCAAGUCCCCCACUCACUCAACACCACCACCACCUCCCCCGCUCACUCAACACCACCACCACAUCCGCCCACUCAACACCACCACCACCUUCACCCACUCAACACCACCACCACCUCCGCCCACCACCUCUAUCGUUUCUCUUUCUUCUUUUUUUUUUUUCAUUUCUUCUUCUUCUUCUUCUUCUUCAAAUCCGAAAAACUCUCACUCAACACCACCACCUCCCCCACUCACUCAACACCACCACCUCCCCCACUCACUCAACACCACCACCACCUCCCCCACUCACUCAACACCACCACCACAUCCGCCCACUCAACACCACCACCACCUCCACCCACUCAAAACCACCACCACCUCCGCCCACCACCUCUGUCGUUUCUCUUUCUUUUUUUUUCAUUUCUUCUUCUUCUUCUUCUUCAAAUCCGAAAAACUCUCGCUCAUAGCUAGAAAAAAUUUCAAACACUAAUAUUCAAAACAAAUCUCAAAUACUCAAAACCCUCUUAAUCUUAAUUUCUAUUUUUAGAUAUGUUUGUUUAAUCUGUACUUUUUUAUUUGCAAAUAGAUAUUAGUUUAUUUCUUUUAGUUUUUGUUGAUGCAUGUCUUUAUUUUUGAAGAUUUAUGUUUUUUGUUUGAAGAUUUAAGUUUCGGAUUUGAGAUAUUUUCUGGUUUUUUCAUUUUAUUUUCAAAUAUUUAUGUUGUGUUUGUUAAAGUAUGAAUAAACAAGAAAAACAAGUUUUUUUUUGGGUUAAUAUUUUCCUAUUUCUUUUCUUAUAUGUAUAGAUGAACUGUGUCUCUGUCAUAUCUCAAACACUAUCUCCCUCAUAUUUCAGACACUAUGGUUUGGUUUUGUUAAUUUCCAAGAUUAACAUGUUAGUUUAGUCGUAUUGUCUGUAUUUUUUUUAUUUGCAAAUAGAGUUCUGUUUGAUGAGUUUAUUUCUUGUAAUUGUUACUGUAUGUCAUUAUUUAUUAUUAUUGGAAAUACUAAUGAAAUUAAUUAAUAUAUAUUUUUAUUUGUGAAUAGAGAUUUAUUUGAUGAGUUUAUUUCUUGGAGUUUAUUUGAUGAGUUUAUUUUCAAUAGUAAAAAUAUUAUUUUUAUUAUUUAAGAUAAUAAUAAAAUUAAUUAAUAUAUCUUUUGUAGUUUUGUUACUGUAUGUCAUUAAAUUAAUAAAUUAUUAUUUAUGUCAUUAUUGUACUAUAGAUUAAUUAAUAUUUGUUAUUGUGUGUCAUUAUUGUACGGCAUAUAUUAAUUAAUAUUUGUUACUGUAUGAUAUUAUUGUUAUGUCAUUAUCGUAUUUACUUUCCACUAAUUUUUGUUUUUUCACUCAAUAUUUUCCCUCCACUUAUUUUUACUUUUCACUCAUAAUUAUUUUCACUUUCAGUCAUAAAAAUAUUCCCACUCUUUUUA